rnacentral:pre_miRNA from 1 species
UAAGUACUCCCUCCGCCCGGAAUUACUUGUCAUCAAAAUGGAUGUGUCUAGAACUAAAAUACAUCUAGAUACAUCCAUUUCAAUGACAAGUAUUUUUGGACGGAGGGAGUACAAG